rnacentral:rRNA from 1 species
UACGUAGGGGGCAAGCGUUGUCCGGAAUUAUUGGGCGUAAAGAGCUCGUAGGCGGUCUGUCGCGUCGGCUGUGAAAACCCGGAGCUCAACUCCGGGCCUGCAGUCGAUACGGGCAAACUGGAGUGUUGCAGGGGAGACUGGAAUUCCUGGUGUAGCGGUGAAAUGCGCAGAUAUCAGGAGGAACACCGGUGGCGAAGGCGGGUCUCUGGGCCGUAACUGACGCUGAGGAGCGAAAGCGUGGGGAGCGAACAGG